AUUUUUCGCGUCGAUUUUGCUUGUGUGCAGUUUUUAUCGCGUUCUUCAUCAAUUUUAGAUACCUUGCUUUUUAUCGUUCCGGCCACCAGAUUCGUUGGUUUUCAUAAAGUUUCAUUUGCCUGUGCCACUUCCACCCGUGUUUAUAAGGCGUAAUAUUCAACUGGAGAUACCUUGCUUUUUAUCGUUCCGGCCACCA